GACGAACGCUGGCGGCGUGCUUAACACAUGCAAGUCGAACGGAAAGGCCCUGCUUUUGUGGGGUGCUCGAGUGGCGAACGGGUGAGUAACACGUGAGUAACCUGCCCUUGACUUUGGGAUAACUUCAGGAAACUGGGGCUAAUACCGGAUAGGAGCUCCUGCUGCAUGGUGGGGGUUGGAAAGUUUCGGCGGUUGGGGAUGGACUCGCGGCUUAUCAGCUUGUUGGUGGGGUAGUGGCUUACCAAGGCUUUGACGGGUAGCCGGCCUGAGAGGGGGACCGGCCACAUGGGGACUAAGGUACGGCCCAGACUCCUACGGGGGGCAGCAGGGGGAAAUAUUGCACAAUGGGCGGAAGCCUGAGGCAGCAACGCCGGGUGCGGGAUGACGGCCUUCGGGUUGUAAACCGCUUUCGCCUGUGACGAAGCGUGAGUGACGGUAAUGGGUAAAGAAGCACCGGCUAACUACGUG
rnacentral:rRNA from 1 species